rnacentral:piRNA from 1 species
UGUCAGAGAAACAAUAGGAAGAUGGCGGU